ACAUCCUCGCUGCCUCCCUGCCAAAAAUCCCCAAAUCCUCCUCUUCUCGCCGCCGCCGCCGCGCUGUCUUCCUCCCGCCACGCCGCAGCGCCGCCUUCCUCCCGCGACGCCCGGCCGGCGCCGUCUUCGUCCCGCGGCACCCGGUCGGCGCCGCGGCGCCCGGACGGCGCCGUCUUCGUCCCGCGGCUCCCGGCCGUCGCCGCCGCGCCCUCGGUGACUGUGGCGGCUACGAAGCACGGCGCCACCACCACUAUCCCGAUCUGCCUCUCUGUCCCCUUACCCAAGUUCUCAAGUUCAAGGCUUGUAGGUUCCAGCUGCAUGGCAAUUGCUCUUUGGUGUUCCUCUACCUGUUAUUUCCUGGUAUUAUUUCAGUUAUUUUAGUAGUUCCUUGGGAAUUCUUAUUUGUUGUCUAAUCUUUAUCUCCG
rnacentral:lncRNA from 1 species